GACGGAGGGAGCUAGCGUUGUUCGGAAUUACUGGGCUUAAAGGGCACGUAGGUGGCCUCUUAAGUUAGGCGUGAAAACCCCGGGCUUAACCUGGGAACAGCGCUUAAUACUGGGAGGCUAGAGAUCGGUAGAGGGAAAUGGAAUUCCUAGUGUAGAGGUGAAAUUCGUAGAUAUUAGGAAGAACACCAGAGGCGAAGGCGAUUUCCUGGGCCGAUUCUGACACUGAGGUGCGAAAGCGUGGGGAGCAAACAGG
rnacentral:misc_RNA from 1 species